UCUCUCUCUCUCUCUCUCUUUCUCUCUCUCUCUUAUAUGGCUUCUUUAUUUAGUUUUUUUUUUUAAAGACAGAGUGGGGGAGAGAGAGAGAGAGAGAGAGAGAGA
rnacentral:miRNA from 1 species